GUGAAUCAUCAAAUUUUUGAACGCAUAUUGCACUCUCUGGUAUUCCGGAGAGUAUGCCUAUUUGAGGGUCAUUUGAAAUAAUAUAAAUUCCAAGAUUUCUCGGAAUUUAAAAGGGGUGGUCAAUUUUUUGUGGUCGCUAAAAAUCAAAAAAAAGCCAUUUUUUUGGGGUGGGGUAAUAUUUUAAGUAACUC
rnacentral:misc_RNA from 1 species